GAUGAACGCUGGCGGCGUGCCUAAUACAUGCAAGUCGAGCGAACAGACGAGGAGCUUGCUCCUCUGACGUUAGCGGCGGACGGGUGAGUAACACGUGGAUAACCUACCUAUAAGACUGGGAUAACUUCGGGAAACCGGAGCUAAUACCGGAUAAUAUAUUGAACCGCAUGGUUCAAUAGUGAAAGACGGUUUUGCUGUCACUUAUAGAUGGAUCCGCGCCGCAUUAGCUAGUUGGUAAGGUAACGGCUUACCAAGGCGACGAUGCGUAGCCGACCUGAGAGGGUGAUCGGCCACACUGGAACUGAGACACGGUCCAGACUCCUACGGGAGGCAGCAGUAGGGAAUCUUCCGCAAUGGGCGAAAGCCUGACGGAGCAACGCCGCGUGAGUGAUGAAGGUCUUCGGAUCGUAAAACUCUGUUAUUAGGGAAGAACAAAUGUGUAAGUAACUAUGCACGUCUUGACGGUACCUAAUCAGAGAGCCACGGCCAACUACGUG
rnacentral:rRNA from 1 species